GCAUACAUAGUAUUUUAUUUAAUUCUGUUUUAUCUGGAAUGGGAACAAGGUGUUGGUUGUUGUGGCAGGAUGUCGAUUAAAAUAGGAAAAACCAGAUGUGCAGGUAGAAGGUAAGUAGCAGCGGAACUUUUAUUAAGAAUCUGGGUGUCUUAGGUGAUUUAUUCAGGAGGCAACAGAAUGCCUUAAUUGCCAAAAGUUAGAUUGCAUCACCAGUGAUACAAUGUUGAGAUCACAAGAAAGGAUCAUUCUCCUUUGCUGAGCUGAUCAGACUGUCCCCAGAAUAUUAUGUCCAGGUUUGGUCACUACAGAGUCACUUGAUAGUGAGAUGGAGGGCAUAUAAAUUUAAAAAAUGCAUGCAUGCAUGCAUGCAUACAAGAAGGUUGCUGAGAAAUUGGAAAGAGUGUAGAAACGAAUAACAAAAGUGAUGGGGGCCUGGAAAGCUAAAUCACAGCAGAACAGUGCAAAGAACUGCAUACGUUUGUUUAACUUUAAAAAAGAGAAGGCUAAGGGAAAAUACGAUAGUAGCUUUCCAAUACUUGAACAGCUGUCCCACGGAAAAGGGCCUGGAUUUUUCUCCAUAGUGCCUGGGGUUUGGACAAAACUAAUGGGUAGACGUUUUAUAGACAGAGACAGAAACUCGAAAUGAGGAGUAAUUUCUUGACCCUGACAGCUGUUAAAACAAUGGAAAAGCCUGCCUCCUGGAGUUACGGAUGCUCUAUUUUUGGAGGUUUUCAAACAAAUUUGGACAGCUAUUUGUCUGGGAUAGUUUGAAGAUUCCUGCCUUGGGCAGGGGGUUCCACCAAGACCUUCAAGUACCUUCCGACUCUAUGAUUCUGGGAAUCAACCAGUGGCAGCUCCAGACUGGCCCUGCCUUUUUGCCCCGUGUUCUUGUAGGGUCUGAAGAGGCUUCAGUGAAGUCAAUGGCAAGUUACCAUCAUGCUGCUUUUAAGGGGCUAAGCAAUGAAAGUGUAGACGUGCCCAUUGCCUCCUUUCAUUUAGAGUUGUGUUUUCUCACUGCUUUUCCUCUCCUUUUUUUCCAACCAUGGAUAUGACACUGGAAGGAGGAAGACAUAAUUGCGCCGUGACUUUUGACUGGUAACACAAAGAAUCCUCUGUCUGGAUGCCCCCUUGGAUUCUUGCUAAUGCUAACCAGUCACACCCUCUGAAUGCAAAUGCUCUUGUAGCGCUCUGUCCUGGCAUUCUCCAGAUGCUGGCUGGGAAUUCUAGAAGCUGACAUUACAAUGCAGUGUGAGGGUGCCCAGAUCCAGGAAAGGCUGUUGGCCAUUUGCCUGAUCCUGAUUUUCAGCAUGAGGAAAAAUCUACAAAAUCUGUUGGGCUGAACAAUGAAGGAAUUCCAUAGCAACAAAGAACAAAGAACAAGACUUACUCACAUCCUCAGAGGAGACCACCUGCCUGUAUUUCGGCAUGAGUCACCGUUCUUAGUAUGGUUCCUGAUCAGAAGGAAGCCAAAAUUGCCUUAUACAGGAAUGCCUCUGGCAGCCUCGUCCAAGGAAACACUAGCAAUAAUAAUCCUUCAGGCUGACAACAUCAAGCAUGCUGAAUUCAAGACCAGAUGUGAAAUCUACAAAGAAGUGAGAGCAAAGAUUCAAACUCAGUAAAGGAAAUACUAUCAAGGGAAUUAACACCUGGGCAACUUCAGUUAUUAGGUACAUAGCUGGAAUAGUGAACUGGUCUCAAGCAAGAACUAAAAGCUCUGGAUAGAAAGGCCAGGAAAAUAAUGACAAUGAAUCAUGGCCUUCAUCCAUGCAGUGACAUUGACAGACUUAUCAAAGAAAAUAAGUGGGAGUGGAAUACAUCAGACAACUGAAGAAGGAAAAAGGGCAUUGGAAGAAUACUUGGAGAACAGUGAAAAAAGUGUGCUGAAGCUACCAUGUUUUCCCCAAAAUAAGAUCCGGUCUUACAUAUUUUUUUUGCCACUAAAAGAGACACAAGGUCUUAUUUCUGGGGAUGUCUUACCCGCUUACCUCAGGACUGCCGCAACCAGGCAUCCCAUGCCUCACACUUGUCACACCAACACCUGACUUCUUCUGUGGCCACUUGCUGCUGCUCAUGGCAGGACAUUGUGUGGCACAAGCAGUCUAUCAUGUUAUAAUAGAAGGGAAUCUUUAACUGCAAAUGCUUAUCCUUCAGUAUUCUUAAAAUGAAGGAUUUAUUUCUUUCCUUCCUUCCCCUCGUCACUGCUGAGACCCUGGAUUCAUCCUAAUCCUCUCAUCUGAGUGAUUUGCUCUCUGAAGAUGACCCUGCUAUAUCAUAACAACAUACUCAACCCUCAACAAUUUCCAAGUGGUCAUCAACACACACAUUAGAAGUUGAGAACAGUUUCUUUGUUUAGGUCAAGAAACACAAGUGCAUCUCAAGAGGCUUCCAUUUGUGUGCCGCCCCCUUUGUUCAUCCCCAAAUUGCCAUCAAAUUGUAUAGAUUAAGGCCAUGCAAACAACUUCUGCAUUUGUUGCUGCCAAACCUAUCUGAACUGUCCUUGAAAUCACAAGGAGCUGAGCUUGCCUGGAAGGCAACUUUACAUUUUAAUUUAGAAUAAACAAGGUGAGGUGUGGAUGACACAUGCUAGGAAGAGUGGUCUGCUGGACCUCUUCCUCUGACUUUGCUCAAGUGCAACAAAGAGAGUAUCUUUCACUUCCUUUUGGCAACCAACUUUUAGAUCCAUAGCUGGCCUCACAAGCUGGUGGUCCUCAAGGAUUUAAGGUGCUGCUUGGUUUGCUGUCUUUUAAGGAGAUGCCAGGUCCUUUCAAUUUAAGCCCGCAAGUGUGACUUUUAAAAGUUAAAAAAGCCCUUGUUUCCAACAGGAGCAGUGUGUUUGGUUUUAAGCUUUUCCAAGCCUAUUUGUUUAGCUUGGCUCUGCAUUCCAAAUUGUUAUUGCUAUUAGAGCCACCAAUAAAAAUAGAGGAAAUCAAGAAAGUACAUUAGAACUGCAUGGAUGACAGCCCAGUUCUGCUCCCACCUACCUUUGAAAACACAGCUAAACGGUGGAGUAAACAGAUUCUCCAUCCGUCAAGAUUUAGCUCCUAGGCCAGACUGGAGUGCUACUGUCUCAGUCUAUUCCAGGAAUUGCAGAGGUGCACCUGCAUAAUAACAUCCCUUUCAACCUUAAACAUUUCCAAUUUUUUAGGAAAAUCACUGCCAGAAAUGCCAAUUUGAAAAGUACUUUUAUGUUGACUUCUCCUCAAAGAGCUUUUUGGAAAGGAAGAGCCCAAAGGCCUGGACAGCAGAGCAAGGAGGCACUCAAUCCCCUUGUCUUAUCUUGUAGUUUUGUCAGCUUUAUGUGACUCCACAUCCUCUUUUGUCCUUUUUGUUUUGAUGACAUGGUGAUCCUUCUUACCAAACUAGAUCUUCAGUAUGCAGAGCCAACUUAUUUUUUAUUUAUACAGGUAGGCCUCAAUUUACAAUAAUUCCUUUAAUGACAAUCCAGAGUUACAGUGGCACUGAAAAAAAGGACUUACAGCCAGUCCUUGCAAUUUCAACCACGACAGAGACCCUGUGGUCGCCCUUUGCCUGUAUUUACAACUGCUGCAGCAUCCCCCGGGGUCACGUGAUCGCCAUUUGUGAUCUUCCCAGUGGGUUUCCAACAAGCAAAGGCGAUGGGGGAAGUCAGUUUCUCUCAACGACUGUGUGUGAUUCACUUAGCAGCUACAGCAAAUAGGUCAUAAAAUUGGAUGUGGCUCACUUAAUGACUGCAUCACUUAGCAACAGAAGUUCUGUUUCAAAUUGUGUUGUAAGCUGGUGACUACCUGUACAGCUCUUUUUCACAUUUGGAAUGAAUGAAUCUGCUCACUUUGGAUUCUCUUUGUUUUUGUUUUUUCUAUUUUUAAAUAUGGUUUCCUCCCACACAGUUGAGAUUGCUUUCAUGAAAAUGUACAGUAAAAUAUGCCUGUAUUUCUAAGCGUAGGUAUUUUUGUUUGCAGUUUUAUUUAAUGCACCUGAUUUUUGCCAAUGCAAUGGAUUUCUGAGGAAAUUUCUCAUAAAUAUGCAGGGGCGGCCUUUCUUUAUACUGCUGUUUUCUUUCUUGGCAAAGUGCUGGCAUGAUUUGGAAGGAAGUGGCUGUCUUACUGAAUUGACUUUCAAGUGGGAAUUAAAGAAAUUUUGUCCCAUUCCAUCCCUAACGUUAAUCUUUUGUUAAACUACUUUUGAGUCUUUCCAGUGAAAUAUAUUAAAAACAGUUGCUGGAAUUGGGUAUGUCUAGUUUAAUGAAAAGAAGGA